rnacentral:rRNA from 1 species
AUUGAACGCUGGCGGCAGGCCUAACACAUGCAAGUCGAGCGGAUGAAGGGAGCUUGCUCCUGGAUUCAGCGGCGGACGGGUGAGUAAUGCCUACGAAUCUGCCUUGUCGAUGGGGAUAACGUCCGUUAACGGGCGCUAAUACCGCAUACGUCCUGAUGUAGAAAGUGGUGGAUCUUUGGACCUCACCCUAUCAGAUGAGCCUAGGUCGCAUUAGCUAGUUGGUGGGGUAAAGGCCUACCAAGGCGACGAUCCGUAACGGAUCUGAGAGGGUGAUCAGUCACACUGGAACUGAGACACGGUCCAGACUCCUACGGGAGGCAGCAGUGGGGAAUAUUGGGCAAUGGGCGAAAGCCUGACCGAGCAAUGCCGCGUGUGUGAAGAAGGUCUUCGGAUUGUAAAACACUUUAAGUAGGGAAGAAGGGAAGUAAGUUAAACCCUGGCUGUUUUGACGGUACCAAAAGAGAAAGCACCGGCUAACUUCGUG